AAUUCUCCCAACUCCGCCUUCCCGCAGCCCCCUCCCCAUUACCUCGGAAAGCCGCCUUGGCGAUGCGGUCGGCUCUGCCGCGGAGGCCGGAGACGGUGCGGAGCUGGAGCUGCAGAGCCAUGGGAUGGAGAAGGUCUCCCCCUGCCCCGCCGGUGAUUUAUCUUCCCCUUACACAAUUAAAUGGGAUAACGAAGGUGAGCAGGAACAACGCAGGAACCCAGCCGAGCCAACACACAGGUCCCCGACGCACGGCGCACCCGAAGCGUUCCCCCGGCUGGCUGCAAUCAGCAGAGCGAGAUUCGGAUAUGGAGGUUUUCACGUUUUCUUGAACUCAGCACAACUACCAACCCCAGCUUUCCUAACCCGUGCGCCCUGCAGAGGGGCCGGCUGUGGGGACGCGCGGUGUUUUCCCACGAGGUUUUCUGUAGAAAACUCUUAUGGGAUGGAUCAAUCCAUCCCCUCUUCCCACUAAUCCCGUGCUGGAUGAAUCCACAGCUCACUGGGAACCAGAGAAAACGGCCACAAGACCUCGAGAAUUUGGGUCAUGCUCUGGCCAGGAGAGGUGGCCGGGACAUCUCCGGAGCCAGAGCUGCAAAUCCUAGCACGAUGCAGGUGCAGGAAGGCCUCUGGAUUUCUGGUUUCUUUCCUUUUCUUUUCCUUUUCUUUCUCUCCUAUAUUUUUUUUUAAAUCUAAUUAAAUUUAAUUAAUUUAUUUAUUUUUUAUUUGCCAUAUCUCCGACCUAUCAGAUCAAGAUGCAAAUAAAGACCGGCCCCUCCAAUUCCCGCACGUCCCCGAGCUUGCGCAUUCAUCCUUGCAAGCCUAAUGGGAUUUUUUAAAAUUAUUUUAACCAAAUCUGCCUCUGUCUGUGCGUAUAAUCAUUGUCUGCACUGGUUCCAUGUAGGCGAUUCACCUUUCCCAAAGUUUUUGGGGACAGGUCCCCCAGUUACCUUCCUGGGGUAGGAAAAGAGCCCAGGGUUCGCCCUUUCACAAAGGAGCUGCCUAAAGCAAAACAACCCCCCCUU
rnacentral:lncRNA from 1 species